rnacentral:rRNA from 1 species
UACGUAGGUGGCAAGCGUUGUCCGGAAUUACUGGGCGUAAAGCGCACGUAGGCGGAUCGAUCAGUCAGGGGUGAAAUCCCAGGGCUCAACCCUGGAACUGCCUUUGAUACUGUCGAUCUGGAGUAUGGAAGAGGUGAGUGGAAUUCCGAGUGUAGAGGUGAAAUUCGUAGAUAUUCGGAGGAACACCAGUGGCGAAGGCGGCUCACUGGUCCAUUACUGACGCUGAGGUGCGAAAGCGUGGGGAGCAAACAGG